rnacentral:rRNA from 4 species
UAAGGGCAUGCCUGUCUCAGCGUC